AAGUUUGUAGUUGGAAAAUAGGUUCAUUUUCCAGCCAGUGGCAAUGAAGGCCUGUCACAGAUCUGCUGAAUGCAGUGGGAAAAAAGUGGUAAGCCUGUAUGCAUUCACACAUCUGUAGAGGGAAUGAAAUAGACUUCCAUUAUCUGGAAGUCCACAAGUUGCCCACCCUUGCACCAGUCAGAUAAAAUAUCUUUGCCAGUAGCUGUAAAUUAUGAACUGGAAUUAAAAUUAGGCUAUAAUCCUAAACAGGCUUAUUUGAAAGUUGACUCAUAUAAUGCAAGGAAAUUAUGAUUAGGAUGGAAACACUCAUGUGCAAUAUGGUGUUAUUGCUUUUUCAGAAAUCUAACCGAGCUUGCCAGUGCCACCCCAACAACCAUUAUUAAGAGCUACAGUUACCAGCCUUGCUGUGCUGUUGUAUUAUUUAACAGCAAAGUGUAAACAUGUGAAAAUAUGACUCAAUUCUUUUUUGCAUUUUUCAUAUUUAAAGUCUAAGCUUCCUAAAUGAAUGUAAACAAAGUGAUUUACACUUUGAUUUACACUUACCCACAAUAGAAGAGGACAACACAGAGGUAAGCCAAGACUCCCUGUACUUUUACUGAACUUGUUACAACUCUGAUGAGCUAAAAAAGGAAACAUGUGUUAAAAUGACAGAGGCAUACUUCAACAGAGGUUCAGAAAGUUGAUAAAAAGGGAGUUGUAACUAGCAUGCAGCAAAAAAUAAAGUAUUUGUACAUACUAAAUGAUUUAAAAUCAUUUGUGAUAUUUAGUAAAUAAUUAUUUAAACGAUUAUUUUCUACAAAAUUUGCAUCACCACAUGUAAUAUAACCAUUUUUUAAAAUGAUUUUUAACCAUUUUUUAAAAUGGGCAAUGGCAGACUGUUCCCAGCUCCUCCUUUUUCAGAUAAAAAUGAUCCUUACUAUCUUUAUCUACUGAUCCAGUGCAGCCUCUGUGGCUGGUAAGCAACUUCUGGCUUAUGCUGAUUAAGCCAUAAAUAAGGCAAUGGCCAAAGGCAGGCAAGAGCAGCAUGGGGAAAAUUUACAUGCAAGACAAGUUAGGGACUAAUAGGAAGGUGCAAACACUCUCUUAACAGCCACUUUUAAGACAUUUACACUGGUCCUGAGUGGUGCUCAUUCAGUAUAAGUACUGACCAGAAACUUAUGACUGCUUUUACAUGCAGCUCAACUUUUUAUUCAAAUGCUAUUUUAAGAACUGUUGAUUUUAAAGGCAACAGUCACUUCUUUUAUCUAAUUUUAUGUCUGUAUUUUUACUAAUUAUCUAUUAUUCCUAUUUAUUGUUAUUGUUUAUGGACUGUUUUGAUUGUUAUGUGAUUUUAAUGUUGUAAGUCGUCCUGAGACAUUGUAAUAAAGGACAGCAUAUAAAUGUUUUAAACAAACAAACAACCUCCUUUUCUCAACCAUCACCAUCUACAGAACCUCCCCAUAUGCACUUUGGGUACGACUUCUUGAAUUAAAGCAAGGACUUUCAAACCAGCCCCUCAUGGAACAGGAGAAGGCAGCUGCUGCUUUAGAUCAGAAGCAAGGGAUUGUUUAGGAGAAGAGUAACCACUUACAUUUUUCUGUCGACUGCUAACAAGGUCAAAGGCAAGGCUGGCUCUGUAUUCACUGUAGACCUGAGAAGACAGUUCCUAUCAGCAACUCAAUCAUGAUUGUUACAAACUUUAAUUAAAAAUUAAAGUUAGAACUCUGCAUGCCUGGUACCAUA